UACAGAGGGGGCAAGCGUUGUUCGGAAUUACUGGGCGUAAAGGGCGCGUAGGCGGCCUGUUAAGUCGAACGUGAAAUCCCCGGGCUCAACCCGGGAACUGCGUCCGAUACUGGCAGGCUUGAAUCCGGGAGAGGGAUGUGGAAUUCCAGGUGUAGCGGUGAAAUGCGUAGAUAUCAAGAGGAACACCUGAGGUGAAGACGGGUUGCUGGGCCAACACUGACGCUGAGGCGCGAAAGCCAGGGGAGCAAACGGG
rnacentral:rRNA from 1 species